UUGGCUGAGGGGAAAAAAAAUGUUUUUGAAGCUGCUGAGUGAACCUUGCCUCUUUUCGUGUAGCCAAUUCCCCGACUGUGAUCUCAAAGUGGCAACGGGCAAUUUCUGGGCUAUCUUUUGGACCAGCAUUGUCAAGCCAGGCCACUGGACAGAACUGAAAGCUGGCUGCCAAAACUGUUUAAUUAUCCUUCUGAAAUGUUUCUUGGUCGAGAAUAAUGGUGCAGAGAGUGCACCAGACAAGUGGUUCCGUGGAGGAAAGGCAAAUAAAUCGCUAUGACUGAUGGCCCUACUUGAAACACAAGGAAUGGAAGAAGGCCCUGGAAGAUUAUCAAGGACCUUGUCUUAAUCCACUACAGCAAAUACCACAGACUUAAACAACAAGCAAUUUAUUUCUCGAAGUCUGGAGGCUGAGAAGUCCAAGAUCAAGGUGCCAUCAGAUUCUGUGGCUGGUGAGGACCUGCUUCCUGAUUCACAGAUGACAGUCUUCUUGGAUCCUCACACAGGAGAAAGAGAACUACCUAAAUCUCUGGUCUCUUCUUCCAAAGUGAGAAUCACCUGCAACUCUGGAGAAUCUGCUGCCCUUUAAGGAAAAAGCCAGUCAGAAGUUUCUCAUGCUGACUCCUCCCUCUAGGAUGGUUUCUCUCCAACCCCAGCCAGAAUGCACCGAUGCAAACAUUGUUCGUCUGACAGCACUACAUGGUGGAGGACGCACUACGCAGUUGGGUAACUGGAAAAAACAGCUGUGUGGUGCAGGAACCAGCCGGGAGGCAGAUGCAGAACGGAAGCACUCUCCUAGACAUUUUGAUUCCCUGAAGUCUAGAUCCAAAGACCCUUCCUUCUCCCCUGAUAAAACUUCCAGCCCCCUUUUCCUGUCCGAGAAACCCCUGGCACCCAGGUGACUGGCCUGCCUCCAGCCAAGGUCCGUCUACCCACUGGUGGGAUGGGCGGGGCCUCACAGCGAAGGACCAGACAGAAUACACAGAACACCAUGCAGUCACCCAAAUGGCCUUGCAGGGUGCGCAUGCUAGGCAGCCGUUUCUCUGCUUGAGCUCUUGAGCCCAUUCAGCUCGUUCAUCCAAGGACACGUCCACCUUAAUUUUAUAUGUGUAACAAUCGUGUCAAAAUUAAUUCCUUCUUCCAUGAUACAUAGCAUUUCAUCCCUUCAGUGUUUUUGCUUCCUUUUAAGCAUGGUUUGCUAUUUUGCCUAUUUUAGCAUUUUAAAGACUUCUUUUUUUUAUUUUUUUAUUGUUAUGUUAAUCCCCAUACAUUACAUCAUUAGUUUUAGAUGUAGUGUUCCAUGAUUCAUUGUUCGUGCAUAACACCCAGUGCUCCAUGCAGAACGUGCCCUCUUUAAUACCCAUAAAGACUUCUUUUUUAAAAGCCAUCUCAUCUGAGUACAUCUUAAUUGGCUGAAAAUCCUUGAAAUGCUGAAACAUAGCUAAAUGAGAAAAAUGCAUCUAGAGUAAAGGGCUGCUGCUGACCUUCCAGGAGCAGCACCCAGGGUUCAAUCCCCCCUCUUUUGAUGCAAAAUUCAAAAUCCAGGAUGCAAAAUUCAUUCUUUGGGGCAAUAAAAUGAAUGAGUAGUAUUUUCUUAUAUUACUAGAAAAGAAAUACAUGUUGAUUGUAGAAAUUUUAGAAAAUGUAUAGUCAAAAGGAGGAGGCAGAGAAUGGAAAGAGAGGGAAGAAAUUAGAAAUAACCACUACCAUUACCCGCAAAGUCAUAAUUUCUCAUUAGUACAUCCUGGGAACCUAUUAGGUCUUUUUUUUUUUUUUUAAGAUUUAUUUAUUUUAGAGAGAGAGAAGAGAGCAUGGAGGGGAGGGGCAGAGG